UACGGGGGGUGCGAGCGUUGUCCGGAAUCACUGGGCGUAAAGGGCGCGUAGGUGGUCUGAUAAGGGUGUGGUGAAAGCCCGGGGCUCAACCCCGGGUCGGCCGUGCCGACUGUUGGACUAGAGUGCUGUAGGGGCAGGCGGAAUUCCGGGUGUAGCGGUGGAAUGCGUAGAGAUCCGGAGGAAGACCGGUGGCGAAGGCGGCCUGCUGGGCAGUUACUGACACUGAGGCGCGACAGCGUGGGGAGCAAACAGGAUUAGAAACCCCCGUAGUCC
rnacentral:rRNA from 1 species